UUAACAAUUAACCUAGACUUGUGCUAGUGAUGUUUAGCUCACCAGUUUCCAAAGGAAAAAUGAGCUUUUGCCAUUACUUGGCGUCCUUGUCGUCGUCCGUCUUGUGUAAAAUAUUUCAAACAUCUCCUUUGAAGCUACUGAACUAAAUCCAACCAAACUUCAGCUGAAUGAUCCUUAGGGUAUCUUAUAAAGUUUGUGUUUUAUAUACUGGUUCGUCAAAAAAUAAAGCAUUUAGAGCAAAUCUGACAAGGGAAAAUGUUCAUUUUAGGCAAGUUCUAUCAGCC
rnacentral:lncRNA from 1 species